UCGGAAUGCCGAACCGUAUUGCAGAAGUGCCGAAUUUCCGAAGUGCCAAAUUUCCGAAGGCCGAACCGUACCAAAUUGCCGAAGUGCCGAAUUUCGGAUGUGCCAAAGUGCUUUGGAUUUCUGAAAAGUAGCAAAACAUGAGAGGGUUGGGUUAGGGGUUAGGGUAGGGUUAGGCUAGGGUUAGGAUAGGGUUACUGGUUGGGGUAGAGGUAGGGUUAGGGGUAGGGAUAGAGUUAGGUUUAGGGGUAGGGUUAGUGGUUAGGGUAGGGUUAGGGUAGGUUUAGUGGUUGGAGUAGGGUUAGGGGUAGGGUUAGGGAAGAGGUACGGUUAGUGUUAGUGGUUGGAGUACCCUAUUCCUAAC